GGAAUAUUCCAACGACUUUCAGCAAUGGAAGUUCACUGAGCAGCCUCAACUUUCAUGGCAAUAAGUUUGAGGGAAAAAUCCCACAGUCCUUGACCAAUUGCAAACAAGUGGAAGUUCUUGAUUUAGGAGAAAAUCACCUCAACGACACAUUCUCCGUGUGGUUGGGGACUCUGCCAAAGCUGAAAAUUUUAAGCUUGAGAUCCAAUAAAUUGCAUGGGUCCAUUAGAUCUCUAACGACUCAAAACUUGUUUUC
rnacentral:misc_RNA from 1 species